UUUUAUACUUUAAGCUCAAAAAUGUCAGACCGUCUGUUCAAAAGUUACAUUAACAUAAUUCUUAAAACUAUAGUAACAUAUGUAUAUCUUUUAAAAGGUAACAGAUAUCAACCUACUAUAAACUGCAAAGAUGAUCAGUAAUUCAAGACCUUCAAUUUGAGGUCAAUGUCCGGUCAUGAUGAAAUUUAACCUUGACCUUCAGAGUGUACUAUGACCUUGACCUUGUGACAUUUGAAAGGUCAAGUGAUCUUGAGUUGAAUGGUGGUAGUCUUAUGUCUCUACGACUUCCGGUUCUCAAGUUUGAUAUUGCAUUAUAUAUUUGAUAAUUCAUUGUGACCUUGAUGAACUUUGGAAUUGUCCAAUUUUUUUUCUUAAAUGUUGUCCUUUUACUGUAGAUCAUUUUUCUUUUAACAAAUUUGAGAUACCUGUUGUCGUUUAAGAGAUAAUGCACUUUGAAAUUUUGCGAGCGGAGGCAUGAAUUUCUGAAUCAACAACAGUUUACCACCUGAAAUUUUCAGAAAUUGAAGAGUUUAACAUGGUUAUAUGUUUGACAUAAUACCAAAAACAUUCAAUGAAAAAAAAAAACCAAAAAAUCAAUUUGAAAUUUUUAUGUUUUGCAUUGACUUUGUAAGUUUCAUAAUUUCUAUUUAUACAAUUGAUAUUGCAUCAUUUUUGGCACUUUGCCAAAUGGGCUCAUUUGAUAUAUCAAAUUGAAGGUCUUAACGAGCUCUACUCAAAAAUGAAAAUGUAAAACCCCCUUUUCAUCCCAGGGGGAAGGGUGGGGUCGUUUAGUGCAAAAAAUUAAAACUUCUCAGAUGGUUAGGUUGUCGCAUAUCAAAUGAAAGUCCAUAAAGCGUACAUUUCAAAUAUCAAAUUGACGUCCCCAAAAAAUGGGUUGGGUGGGGUCAUUGAGUGCAAAAAAUAUAAUUUUCUUUUAAGGUAAGGUUGUUGUAUUUCAAAUGAAAGCUCGUAACGUGUACAUUUCAAAUAUCAGAUUCCUGUCCUCAAAAAAAGAGUUGGGUGGGGUUAUUUAGUGCAAAAAUCAAACUUCCUAGAACAUUUGAGUUUAACAUGGCUAUAUGGUUGACAAAUUACCAAAAACUUUCAAUGAAAAACUUAAAAAAAAAAAGUCAAUUUGAAAUUUUCAUCUUUUACAUUGACUUUGUAAGUUUCAUAAGUUAUAUUUAUAUAAUUGAUGUUGCAUCAUUUUUGGCACUUUGCCAAAUGCAGUCAUUAUGUAUAUCAAAUUGAACGCCUAAAUGAGCUGUACUCAAAAAUGAAAAUUUCAAACCCCUUUUUCAUCCCAGUGGGAAGGGUGGGGUCAUUUAGUGCAAAAAAAACAAACUUCUCAGAUGGUUAGGUUGUCGCAUAUCAAAUGAAAGUCCAUAAAGCGUACAUUUCAAAUAUCAAAUUGACGUCCCCAAAAAAUGGGUUGGGUGGGGUCAUUGAGUGCAAAAAAUAAAUGUUCUUUUAAGAUAAGGCUGUUGUAUAUCAAAUGAAAGGUCUGACCGUGUACAUUUCAAAUAUCAAAUUCAUGUCCUCCAAAAAUGAGUUGGAUGGGGUUAUUUAGUGCAAAAAUCAAACUUUCUAGAACAUGUUGCUGUCGCAUAUCAAAUGAAAGAUAAUCAAGUCUACAUUACAUAUAUCAUACUUCCAAUUUCGAAAAUAUAGGCGGAUGGGGUCAUUAAGUGUAAUAAGCGAAAAGUUUGAGAAGGUAUGCUUGUCGUAUAUCAAUCGAAAGGUUGUAGAAAGUACAUUACGAAAACAUCACUUUUACAGAAAGACCUUUCAAUUGUUUUACAAACAAUUGAGAUACUAGUUAAGGUCUUUCCACUCCGUUAGGAAAGACCUUAUUGUUAAGGUCUUUCCACUCCGUUAGGAAAGACCUUAUUGUUUUUCUAAUGUUUUUUUUUUUUCUUUUUUUUUUUUUUUUUCUUUUUCUUUUUUUUUUUUUUUUUUUUUUUCUUUUUUUUCUUCCAACAUUUUUUUGGGAAUGCCCUCCCCCCGUUUCUGUUCAAGUUAUCAAGACCAAAUAUGGACCAUCGAUAGACAUCAUCAUGAAGUAUUACCACAUGACCCUGUUAAGGAUUUCAUCAUCCCCUGUAGAAGUUAUCCCCCUUUUAUUGGAUUUUUUCAACAUGGCCCCCCUUCGUUGUUUUUGAAGAUAUCAUGACCUUAUUUUGACAAUAGGUUGAUCUCAUCAUGAUGUACUACCAUAUGUGACUGCAUAGGAUUUCAUCAUCCCCUAUGCGAGUUAUAUCCCCUUGAAGCGAUUUCUUUCCUUUGCAUUUUUCUCAAAAAGUAUUAGAGAUAGAAUCGAUUUGAAAACGGCAACAUAUACAGGAACUGAUGGCAAUGUUAAUGAACAUAUAAAAUAAUUUUGUUAUUGACCCUUAUAAGGAGUUAUUUCUCUUAAAAAAAUAUACACAAUUUUUGAAAAAUUGUAUUUCGAGAACCCUAAGUCGUAGAGACUUGGGACCUACACCAAUAAUCUUAAGUUCAUGUGACCUUCAAUUUGCAUCUAAGGUCAAAGGUCACAGAGUGCAAAAAAACUUUACGCUGCAAUUUCAAGCUUGCAUAUUAAGAAAACCAUAAGAGUUUGCUGCAUACAUACUGUGUAUAAAAUGUUCCUCUCGACGAGCUCUACAUUUUAUACAUUAAGCUCAAAAAUGUCCGACUGUCUGUUCAAAAGUUACAUUAACAUAAUUCUUAAAACUAUAGUAACAUAUGUAUAUCUUUUAAAAGGUAACAGAUAUCAACCUACUAUAAACUGCAAAGAUGAUCAGUAAUUCAAGGCCUUCAAUUUGAGGUCAAUGUCAGGUCAUGAUGAAAUUUAACCUUGACCUUCAGAGUGUACUAUGACCUUGACCUUGUGACAUUUGAAAGGUCAAGUGAUCUUGAGUUGAAUGGUGGUAGUCUUAUGUCUCUACGACUUCCGGUUCUCAAGUUUGAUAUUGCAUUAUAUAUUUGAUAAUUCAUUGUGACCUUGAUGAACUUUGGAAUUGUCCAAUUUUUUUUCUUAAAUGUUGUCCUUUUACUGUAGAUCAUUUUUCUUUUAACAAAUUUGAGAUACCUGUUGUCGUUUAAGAGAUAAUGCACUUUGAAAUUUUGCGAGCGGAGGCAUGAAUUUCUGAAUCAACAACAGUUUACCACCUGAAAUUUUCAGAAAUUGAAGAGUUUAACAUGGUUAUAUGUUUGACAUAAUACCAAAAACAUUCAAUGAAAAAAAAAAACCAAAAAAUCAAUUUGAAAUUUUUAUGUUUUGCAUUGACUUUGUAAGUUUCAUAAUUUCUAUUUAUACAAUUGAUAUUGCAUCAUUUUUGGCACUUUGCCAAAUGGGCUCAUUUGAUAAAUCAAAUUGAAGGUCUUAACGAGCUCUACUCAAAAAUGAAAAUGUAAAACCCCCUUUUCAUCCCAGGGGGAAGGGUGGGGUCGUUUAGUGCAAAAAAUUAAAACUUCUCAGAUGGUUAGGUUGUCGCAUAUCAAAUGAAAGUCCAUAAAGCGUACAUUUCAAAUAUCAAAUUGACGUCCCCAAAAAAUGGGUUGGGUGGGGUCAUUGAGUGCAAAAAAUAUAAUUUUCUUUUAAGGUAAGGUUGUUGUAUUUCAAAUGAAAGCUCGUAACGUGUACAUUUCAAAUAUCAGAUUCCUGUCCUCAAAAAAAGAGUUGGGUGGGGUUAUUUAGUGCAAAAAUCAAACUUCCUAGAACAUUUGAGUUUAACAUGGCUAUAUGGUUGACAAAUUACCAAAAACUUUCAAUGAAAAACUUUAAAAAAAAAAGUCAAUUUGAAAUUUUCAUCUUUUACAUUGACUUUGUAAGUUUCAUAAGUUAUAUUUAUAUAAUUGAUGUUGCAUCAUUUUUGGCACUUUGCCAAAUGCAGUCAUUAUGUAUAUCAAAUUGAACGCCUAAAUGAGCUGUACUCAAAAAUGAAAAUUUCAAACCCCUUUUUCAUCCCAGUGGGAAGGGUGGGGUCAUUUAGUGCAAACAAAACAAACUUCUCAGAUGGUUAGGUUGUCGCAUAUCAAAUGAAAGUCCAUAAAGCGUACAUUUCAAAUAUCAAAUUGACGUCCCCAAAAAAUGGGUUGGGUGGGGUCAUUGAGUGCAAAAAAUAAAUGUUCUUUUAAGAUAAGGCUGUUGUAUAUCAAAUGAAAGGUCUGACCGUGUACAUUUCAAAUAUCAAAUUCAUGUCCUCCAAAAAUGAGUUGGAUGGGGUUAUUUAGUGCAAAAAUCAAACUUUCUAGAACAUGUUGCUGUCGCAUAUCAAAUGAAAGAUAAUCAAGUCUACAUUACAUAUAUCAUACUUCCAAUUUCGAAAAUAUAGGCGGAUGGGGUCAUUAAGUGUAAUAAGCGAAAAGUUUGAGAAGGUAUGCUUGUCGUAUAUCAAUCGAAAGGUUGUAGAAAGUACAUUACGAAAACAUCACUUUUACAGAAAGACCUUUCAAUUGUUUUACAAACAAUUGAGAUACUAGUUAAGGUCUUUCCACUCCGUUAGGAAAGACCUUAUUGUUAAGGUCUUUCCACUCCGUUAGGAAAGACCUUAUUGUUUUUCUAAUGUUUUUUUUUUUUUUUUCUUUUUUUUUUUUUUUUUCUUUUUCUUUUUUUUUUUUUUUUUUUUUUUCUUUUUUUUCUUCCAACAUUUUUUUGGGAAUGCCCUCCCCCCGUUUCUGUUCAAGUUAUCAAGACCAAAUAUGGACCAUCGAUAGACAUCAUCAUGAAGUAUUACCACAUGACCCUGUUAAGGAUUUCAUCAUCCCCUGUAGAAGUUAUCCCCCUUUUAUUGGAUUUUUUCAACAUGGCCCCCCUUCGUUGUUUUUGAAGAUAUCAUGACCUUAUUUUGACAAUAGGUUGAUCUCAUCAUGAUGUACUACCAUAUGUGACUGCAUAGGAUUUCAUCAUCCCCUAUGCGAGUUAUAUCCCCUUGAAGCGAUUUCUUUCCUUUGCAUUUUUCUCAAAAAGUAUUAGAGAUAGAAUCGAUUUGAAAACGGCAACAUAUACAGGAACUGAUGGCAAUGUUAAUGAACAUAUAAAAUAAUUUUGUUAUUGACCCUUAUAAGGAGUUAUUUCUCUUAAAAAAAUAUACACAAUUUUUGAAAAAUUGUAUUUCGAGAACCCUAAGUCGUAGAGACUUGGGACCUACACCAAUAAUCUUAAGUUCAUGUGACCUUCAAUUUGCAUCUAAGGUCAAAGGUCACAGAGUGCAAAAAAACUUUACGCUGCAAUUUCAAGCUUGCAUAUUAAGAAAACCAUAAGAGUUUGCUGCAUACAUACUGUGUAUAAAAUGUUCCUCUCGACGAGCUCUACAUUUUAUACAUUAAGCUCAAAAAUGUCCGACUGUCUGUUCAAAAGUUACAUUAACAUAAUUCUUAAAACUAUAGUAACAUAUGUAUAUCUUUUAAAAGGUAACAGAUAUCAACCUACUAUAAACUGCAAAGAUGAUCAGUAAUUCAAGGCCUUCAAUUUGAGGUCAAUGUCAGGUCAUGAUGAAAUUUAACCUUGACCUUCAGAGUGUACUAUGACCUUGACCUUGUGACAUUUGAAAGGUCAAGUGGUCUUGAGUUGAAUGGUGGUAGUCCCAUGUCUCUACGACUUACGGUUCUCAAGUUUGAUAUUGCAUCAUAUAUUUGAUAAUUCAUUGUGACCUUGAUGAACUUUGGAAAUGUCCAAUUUUUUUUCUAAAAUGUUGUCCUUUUACUGUAGAUCAUUUUUCUUUUAACAAAUUUGAGAUACCUGUUGUCGUUUAAGAGAUAAUGCACUUUGAAAUUUUGCGAGCGGAGGCAUGUAUUUCUGAAUCAACAACAGGUAACCACCUGAAAUUAUAAGAAAUUGAAGAGUUUAACAUGGUUAUAUGUUUGACCAAAUACCAAAAACAUUCAAUGAAAAAAAAAACCAAAAAAUCAAUUUGAAAUUUUCAUGUUUUGCAUUGACUUUGUAAGUUUCAUAAGUUCUAUUUAUAUAAUUGAUAUUGCAUCAUUUUUGGCACUUUGCCAAAUGGGGUCAUUUGAUAUAUCAAAUUGACGGUCUUAACGAGCUCUACUCAAAAAUGAAAAUGUAAAACCCCCUUUUCAUCCCAGGGGGAAGGGUGGGGUCAUUUAGUGCAAAAAAUUCAAACUUCUCAGAUGGUUAGGUUGUCGCAUAUCAAAUGAAAGUCCAUAAAGCGUACAUUUCAAAUAUCACAUUGACGUCCCCAAAAAAUUGGUUGGGUGGGGUCAUUGAGUGCAAAAAAUAAAAUUUUCUUUUAAGGUAAGGUUGUUGUAUAUCAAAUGAAAGGUCGUAACGUGUACAUUUCAAAUAUCAGAUUCCUGUCCUCAAAAAAUAAGUUGGAUGGGGUUAUAAAGUGCAGAAAUCAAACUUUCUAGAACAUGGCGUUGUCGCAUAUCAAAUGAAAGAUAAUCAAGUCUACAUUACAUAUAUCAUACUUCCGAUAUCAAAAAUGUAGGCGGAUGGGGUCAUUAAGUGUAAAAAGUGAAAAUUUUUAGAAGGUAUGCUUGUCGUAUAUCAAAUGAAAGGUCUUAAAGAGUACAUUACAAAAACAUCACUUUUGCAGGAAAGACCUUUCAAUUGUUUUUCAAACAAUUGAGAUACUAGUUUUUUUUUUUUUUCUUUUUCUUUUUUUUUUUUUUUUUUUUUUUUCUUUUUUUUCUUCCAACAUUUUUUUGGGAAUGCCCUCCCCCCGUUUCUGUUCAAGUUAUCAAGACCAAAUAUGGACCAUCGAUAGACAUCAUCAUGAAGUAUUACCACAUGACCCUGUUAAGGAUUUCAUCAUCCCCUGUAGAAGUUAUCCCCCUUUUAUUGGAUUUUUUCAACAUGGCCCCCCUUCGUUGUUUUUGAAGAUAUCAUGACCUUAUUUUGACAAUAGGUUGAUCUCAUCAUGAUGUACUACCAUAUGUGACUGCAUAGGAUUUCAUCAUCCCCUAUGCGAGUUAUAUCCCCUUGAAGCGAUUUCUUUCCUUUGCAUUUUUCUCAAAAAGUAUUAGAGAUAGAAUCGAUUUGAAAACGGCAACAUAUACAGGAACUGAUGGCAAUGUUAAUGAACAUAUAAAAUAAUUUUGUUAUUGACCCUUAUAAGGAGUUAUUUCUCUUAAAAAAAUAUACACAAUUUUUGAAAAAUUGUAUUUCGAGAACCCUAAGUCGUAGAGACUUGGGACCUACACCAAUAAUCUUAAGUUCAUGUGACCUUCAAUUUGCAUCCAAGGUCAAAGGUCACCGAGUGCAAAAAAAAAUUACGCUGCAAUUUCAAGCUUGCAUAUUAAGAAAACGAUAAGAGUUUGCUGCAUACAUACUGUGUAUAAAAU